AUGAUUGCGAAUGGUUACCUUUGGUGCUGGCUCUCGCGAGCAAGUGCACAUUGGUGGCUUUCAUCCACUACUACCCUUGUGAACCUUUGGCCUCUUGCUCGCUUCGGCUGGCAGAGGAUUUUUACACACACACUCGAAUGUAAUGAAAUUAUUGUUGUGCGUAAGCACUAAUGUA
rnacentral:misc_RNA from 1 species